rnacentral:pre_miRNA from 1 species
UCCAUCUUAACCCUGGAUCUAUCAAGAGUCGAGAGGGGUCAAAUCUCUUGAGGUGAAAACCUUUACGUGAGGAAAGGUUAAAAGUUUGCACCUCAAGAUAUUUGAUCCCUCUUGGCGCUUGAUAGAUCCAAGGUUAAGAUGGA